rnacentral:rRNA from 1 species
GUGGGGAAUUUUGGACGAUGGGCGCAAGCCUGAUCCAGCAAUGUCGCGUGCAGGAAGAAGGCCUUCGGGUUGUAAACUGCUUUUGUACGGAACGAAACGGUCCUGGCUAAUAUCCGGGGCUAAUGACGGUACCGUAAGAAUAAGCACCGGCUAACUACGUGCCAGCAGCCGCGGUAAUACGUAGGGUGCGAGCGUUAAUCGGAAUUACUGGGCGUAAAGCGUGCGCAGGCGGUGCUGUAAGACAGGCGUGAAAUCCCCGGGCUCAACCUGGGAAUUGCGCUUGUGACUGCAGUGCUGGAGUGCGGCAGAGGGGGAUGGAAUUCCGCGUGUAGCAGUGAAAUGCGUAGAUAUGCGGAGGAACACCGAUGGCGAAGGCAAUCCCCUGGGCCUGCACUGACGCUCAUGCACGAAAGCGUGGGGAGCAAACAGGAUUAGAUACCCGUGUAGUCC